UGAAAUAGUGGUUCGAUUCCAUUAAAAAUCA
rnacentral:tRNA from 1 species